rnacentral:lncRNA from 1 species
CUUAUAAUUCCAAAAAUAUUUAAGGUGUAUGUAAGCAAGUUAAUACACACAGAGAAUUAUUCCUAUACUACAUUUAAUAUAUAUUAGUUUGCUUAUUUGAAUCAGAAUUGCCUGGGGAACUGUUAGAUAAUAUAUGUGUCUCUACCCUAUGAAGACUUACUUGGUAUUUGUAUUUUGAAAAAAAAAAUAACUGCCCUUGGUUAUUUUGGUGGGUUCCUCUUGUUGAGAACCACUAGUGUAAGAUAGAUCUGUUCAGAGCCAUGGGACACAUCAGGAAGCCACUGGGCCCAAGUCCAGGUGAUUUGGACAGAAAAGCAGCUGCAUGGAUCCUUCUGCGAGCUGUGAGCAAUCGGUUCCACCAUCCACAGUUAAGGGCAUCUGCAACCACUCAGCUGAUAAGUCUAAAGGCCUCCUGUAGGUCAGAACCUGACAGAGCAUGACGUGGAACACAAGAGGCAUGGGGAGGCGUCUUGAUAUAGACAGGGAGGUAGUUGAGAACCAGCUGUGUAUGAAUACCAGGCUUCUACUGUUUCUAGGUAUGCAAACUCACAGGGCUAGGUGAGGAGAGAGGUCACAGCAGGGGAGCCGGAUUUGGGAGGCGCGUUAAAGGCAGAGGGUACACUCUGGAUCAGAUCUGUAAUCUGUAAUAAUGCAACAUGUUGAGAGGACCAGCAAUCCUGGGGUGGCAUGGCUGGGCUUUGAGGACAUAUUGAUGUACCAUGCUCCUUUCAUGAUACAAAAAUGACUUUCAUGCAAUUCAUUCUUGUGUGAAGGUCCAUGGUGGAUCUAGAAGACAAAAUCAUGAGGUAUUUUGCCAGUUUCAAUAACCAAGUUUUUGGGGAGAAAACGAAUGGCUGGAGUGGGGGGGGGUGGUGAAAGCCUGGAAGGCGGUGAAAUCUGAGGGGAUGCUGGCUUCCCUCCAGCUGAAGCAGGCUCUUGUGAAGGCUGGGCUAGAAUGGCCUGUCCAUCAUCGCAAACUGGCGGGUGUUCCCAGAAGAGCCGCUGAGGUGUGAGAGAAACUGCCUUGUUACCAGGAAUGUGGGAAAGAGUGGAGGUUUUAUGUAUAAUUUCCUUUUCUCAGAAUCCAAAAUAGUCAUAAAUAAGCCCAAAGAGGCAACAGGCAGGAGAAUGAAACAUGAAUGCCUAUCAUUUCUGAGGAGCUAGAAACUGAGAAGAAUUCAAAUAGAUCUUUCACUGUGGAUUUGGACUCCGAAGUAACUUGGCCAAAGCUAAAUGUAGUCAGUUUACAAAAAGGGCUCUGCAAGGUGACAUAAUGCCACAGAGAUGAAGAUUUUCACAGUGGAAAAAACAGGUUUGGCACAGACAAGCUCUAAACUCUUUGGAAAUCAUAAUCCUGUACUCUCCACAGAUCCUUGAGAGUUAAAGGCUAAGACUGUUAGAACAUCAUGACAGG